GGGCCCGCACAAGCGGUGGAGCAUGUGGUUUAAUUCGAUGCAACGCGAAGAACCUUACCUGGGUUAGACAACGUAUGACAUCCGUAGAGAUACGGCUUCCCCUUCGGGGGCAUACGGUUCAGGUGCUGCAUGGCUGUCGUCAGCUCGUAUCGUGAGAUGUCGGGUUAAGUCCCUUAACGAGCGCAACCCCUAUCCUUAGUUGCCAUCAUUCAGUUGGGCACUCUAUGGAGACCGCCGGUGUUAAACCGGAGGAAGGCGGGGAUGACGUCAAGUCCUCAUGGCCCUUAUGUCCAGGGCUACACACGUGCUACAAUGGUCGGUACAAAGGGUUGCCAACCCGCGAGGGGGAGCUAAUCUCAGAAAACCGAUCUCAGUUCGGAUUGAAGUCUGCAACUCGACUUCAUGAAGCUGGAAUCGCUAGUAAUCGCGGAUCAGAACGCCGCGGUGAAUACGUUCCCGGGCCUU
rnacentral:rRNA from 1 species